rnacentral:rRNA from 1 species
AAGACCUUGCGCUUUUGGAGCGGCCGAUGCCUGAUUAGCUUGUUGGUAAGGUAAAGGCUUACCAAGGCUUCGAUCAGUAGCUGGUCUGAGAGGACGGCCAGCCACACUGGGACUGAGACACGGCCCAGACUCCUACGGGAGGCAGCAGUGGGGAAUUUUGGACAAUGGGGGCAACCCUGAUCCAGCCAUGCCGCGUGAGUGAAGAAGGCCUUCGGGUUGUAAAGCUCUUUCAGCCGGAACGAAACGGUUACGGAUAACACCCGUGACUACUGACGGUACCGGAAGAAGAAGCACCGGCUAACUACGUGCCAGCAGCCGCGGUAAUACGUAGGGUGCGAGCGUUAAUCGGAAUUACUGGGCGUAAAGCGUGCGCAGGUGGUUUUGUAAGUCAGAUGUGAAAUCCCCGGGCUUAACCUGGGAACU